CGGAACGUGUCCUGUUGUGGGGGAUAGCCCACCGAAAGGGUUGCUAAUACCGCAUAAGGUCUCACAUGUGGGUGUGAGAGGAAACCUUCUUCCUAGUAAGAUAGGAAGAGGGGCCGAAGGAGGGGUCUGCGGCGGAUUAGCUAGAUGGUGGGGUAAAGGCCUACCAUGGCGACGAUCCGUAGCUGGUCUGAGAGGACGAUCAGCCACACUGGGACUGAGACACGGCCCAG
rnacentral:rRNA from 1 species